ensembl:lncRNA
GCCCAUGUUUCUCUCUGGAAUUGAAGUCACAAGAUGGAAAAUUAUUCAUAAUUGCAAUCAUAACAUACCAUACAAUAGAGAGUUUCCUGCCAAGGAAACUUUGAUUUCAAAGACCUUACGCAAGUCGCAUGUAGUCGUGACUAUUUUUUUUUUGCAAGAAGCUCCUGCCAGCCUUCAAACUCAACACAACCCAGGUGAUAUCCACAUCAUGGGUACUACCAAGAUUUUCCUGCUCCUUCUCUCAGUGGCCCUGUUGGCCCUGAGCUCAGCUCAAGGAACACCCAAGGAAGCCCCAAGACAGCAACCUGCUGAACCUGAACCAGCCCCAAGGCAACAAACUAGGAAAAGUAAAGACGCAGAAGAGCCAGGCGACCCACCUGAAGGAGAACCAGGCGAACCACCUGAAGGAGAACCAGGUCCACCACCUGAAGGAGAACCAGGUGCACCACCUGAAGGAGAACCAGGUGCACCACCUGAAGGAGAACCAGGUGCACCACCUGAAGGAGAACCAGGUGCACCACCUGAAGGAGAACCAGGUGCACCACCUGAAGGAGAACCAGGUGCACCACCUGAAGGAAGAAGCUAUCUCAGACCUAGCCACAAGCCUACUCAUGCCAAUAUCUUCAAGGAGAGAAGAGAAGAAGAAAUAGGAGAACCAGGUGCACCACCUGAAGGUAAGUAGUAUGUCUAUCUCUAAACACUCCUUUCUUUCCCCGUUCCUUGAGGACCCUAGACCUUGUUCUCAUUUGAAACCAUUUGGCACAUCCACUCUUAAAGUUCAGUACCAAGAAAGAGAGGGUAAUAAUGAACUAGGAGGGUGGUCAGGUUAAAAGGCUUUGUUUUCUCUUGCCAUUGCAUAGCUCACAUAUUUCCACCAGAGAUUUUCCCAGAUCAAAAAUCCAAAAUGAUUUUCUCAUCUUUUCCUAAAGCAUAGUUUGCUUUUUUCCAUUGCCUAAUACCCUAGAUCAAAGAUUUCAAGAUCACUUUGUAAUAUUUAAUGCAAUGUUCUCUUCAUGUCUCUGCAGUGUGGGUAUUUCUCUCUCUCUUUCUCUGUGUUUUCACAGUCCCUCUGUGUCUGGUCUUUCUCUGAAUUGAUAUCUUUAUCUCUCUGUCUCUGUCUUGCUUUUUCUCUGCCUUUGUCUCUCCCUCUGUCUCUCUCUCUUUCACACACACACACACACACACACACACACACACACACACACAUGCACACACACAUUUUCUCUGUA